UACGUAGGGUGCGAGCGUUAAUCGGAAUUACUGGGCGUAAAGCGUGCGCAGGCGGUUUUGUAAGUCUGUUGUGAAAUCCCCGGGCUUAACCUGGGAAUGGCAAUGGAGACUGCAAGGCUAGAGUUUGGCAGAGGGGGGGUAGAAUUCCACGUGUAGCAGUGAAAUGCGUAGAUAUCAGGAGGAACACCGGUGGCGAAGGCGGCAUCCUGGACCGGUAUUGACGCUGAGGCGCGAAAGCCAGGGGAGCAAACGGG
rnacentral:rRNA from 1 species